GAAGAAGGUGGAUGCUGGAGACUCUGGCC
rnacentral:piRNA from 1 species